rnacentral:rRNA from 1 species
GGGCCUCUUGCCAUCGGAUGUGCCCAGAUGGGAUUAGCUAGUAGGUGGGGUAACGGCUCACCUAGGCGACGAUCCCUAGCUGGUCUGAGAGGAUGACCAGCCACACUGGAACUGAGACACGGUCCAGACUCCUACGGGAGGCAGCAGUGGGGAAUAUUGCACAAUGGGCGCAAGCCUGAUGCAGCCAUGCCGCGUGUAUGAAGAAGGCCUUCGGGUUGUAAAGUACUUUCAGCGGGGAGGAA